rnacentral:lncRNA from 1 species
AUGGAAAACUUGGAAUGUGUGUUCUGGAAUGAACGACCAGGAGAAGCAAAGGGUGCCAAACCCUAGUUCAUCGAAUAACAUCAAAUUGAAGGGCUAAUCGGGGCUCAAAUUCAUGAAUGAACGCGGAUUAAUGAUCACUCAAGCUAGAAGAUCAUAAGUUUGGCGCUUAACAAGCUAGGUGGAAGCAAGGGGAGAAAACGGGUCAAACGAAUCAAGUAUGAGAAGGAAAAGAGCAUAACCGGAUGCAAGGUAAGUAAAGCUUACACCUUCUAGAAUAGAAUACUUACUUGUAUAAUGGAUAGCAUUGUGAAUAAUAAAAUGGACAUGGUUUUCGCGGACGUUUUGUCAACAAAAUAGUUGUUGACAGCAAGCAGGUCCGUAUUUGCAGAAAUUGUUUCGGGGUCUUAAACACUUAGUUUUGAAUCAAUAUUUGGUCAGAAGUGGUAUAACAAU